rnacentral:misc_RNA from 1 species
GGGAGACAUCUAUUUCUUGCCGCCGAGGGUAUCCUGGACGGACUGAGCGGCGUUGCCGAGAGACUCCUGGGCCUGGCCGAGGACGCCCUUGCCCUGGUCAGCGCCGCCGCGGGUGGCAUCGCCGGCCUUCUGGGUGGCGGACUUGUCGCCCUCAGGCUGGAGAGCACCGGCAGCACGGUCGUAGGCGCCGGAGGCGGUCUCGGAGGCCUUGUCGAGGGUGGACUUCUGGCUGUCGGGAGUGACCUUCUCCUGAACCUGGUCACCGAGUCCCUUGCGGCCGAGAUCAGACAUGUUGAUUGUUGGGUGGUUUGGGAUUUGGUUUGUGGUUGGAAGUGUGGU